rnacentral:rRNA from 1 species
AGAGUUUGAUCCUGGCUCAGGAUGAACGCUGGCGGCGUGCUUAACACAUGCAAGUCGAACGGAGAGCGUAUGACAGAGGAUUCGUCCAAUGGAAUGCGUUUCUUAGUGGCGGACGGGUGAGUAACGCGUGAGGAACCUGCCUCGGAGUGGGGAAUAACACAACGAAAGCUGUGCUAAUACCGCAUGAUGCAGCUGGGUCGCAUGACCCUGGCUGCCAAAGAUUUAUCGCUCUGAGAUGGCCUCGCGUCUGAUUAGCUGGUUGGCGGGGUAACGGCCCACCAAGGCGACGAUCAGUAGCCGG